GGAGUAUGCGUAUGCAGGGGGUGCAAGCCCAGCCCCGUCUAAACCACAUGGACAGAGACUGGGGGUGCUUUUGUAGAUGCUGGAGCAAACACCCCAACACAACCAGUCAAAACCCUUCAGGGAAUCCCCUACCUUCCAGAUGAGGCCCCAUCUGGGCCUUAACCCUGUGAUCCUUAAUCUAGCUUUCAAAGCUGGCUGUGUCUCACUGACUUCAGCUCCAGCCAUUCCUUGCUUCCACCCCUGGCCUCCCAUGCUCAGCCAUCCUAAACCACUAAAGCCCUAGACCAUCCAUCUGGCUCCUCUACUUGGGUGCAUCUGACCCUGUGUCCUGGAGGGCACCAACUCUGACACCUUCAGGGUCAAGGGGCCUCCCUAUUUGGUGCUGCCCCACCCCCAACCCUGUCAGCUCUAGAAUCCUCUCUUCCACAGUGCUGAUCACACUGGGUCCCGCUGUUCCCAUGUCUGCCUCCCUACCAGACUGAGCUCCAAGCUGCCAGGGGCCUCGUCUCCAUUUGGGUCCCAGUUCCCACCAUAGAGCUGGGCAUGGAGGACAGCUCAGGGAAGCUUCUUGGGAAAUGAAUUCUGGGAGUUCCCUCUGCCAAGGACCCACUGUGUUAAGAGCUUUAAGCUGGGCCAGGGGAGCAGGAAGACCCCCGGAGCACCGGAAGCAAGAAAGAGGCAGGCAGGGGCGGCUAGCCAGGUUUGUGCUCGGACUGUAUUCACACAGAGACACGUGGCAGCUUACAUUGGACAAAACGAGUAAUAAAAAUUGGCUUUAAAUAUGGAAAAAACAGGGCCCUGUAAUCCCAUGCUACCCUAACACUGGGACCAGGAUGGCCAUCACAGUCUGGGGAAGGGCCAGGGCUGGGGCCUGGGGCACAGGCACAGCCUCGCCCUAUCCCCUUCACCCACACAGGUACACGCGCGUGCACGCACCCCACAGGCGCACACAGGAAGGGUGGAUUAUUGCUGGGCACAUGUGUCUAUUGUUAUGAGGGGAGUCCGGAAUGUUUGAGGGUUGACCAGGGAUGCCCCACCCCCUCCUAGGGGCUGGGCUUGGGCGUUUCUGAAAGAGGUGUCUUCAGGACAGAGCCCAGUAUCAGGGACCAGGCUGUGGGAGCUGGAAGGCAGAGGCAGACCUAUCUGGGCCGGCCGGGGCAGUGGGUUGAUGGGUAUCACAGGCAGCCCAAUCUCUGGCCACUUUGGCACAGGCCUAGGGCAUACAGAGGCCCCAGACCCAGCGGUGACAAGCACUGAGAAGGGACAGCUUUGGGCCCCAGAGGGUAGCAGCCUGAGCCCAGGGCAGCAGGGGGAGGCACAAGUCUUACUCAGAGGCCGGGGGUGGCCAGCACAGUGCUGAAGGCUCAGGGGUGUGACCACCCUCAGCCAUCCAAGCUGGG